UAAGUUAUCCCAUUCUUACAACUUUUUAUAUGGAAAUCUUCUGAAAUCAAUAAGAUUUCCCUGUAACUUAUAGAUUUACAAGGAAAUCUUAUUGAUUUCAGAAGGUUUCCAUAUACAAAGUUGUAAGAAAGUGUACUGUUGUCUUAUAAUUAUGUACUUUGCCAACGGUAAACUCAUUUUGUAUCAUUUCAAAGCGAGCGUUUGAUCUUUAUACUCGUAAAAAUUCAAAAGUGCUAAAAAAAUGGAAAACGAAAAUAUCAUAAACGAUAACGAAAUUAUAAGUGUCCCAUGCAUGACAUGGGAUGCGAGUGAUAUCGAAGAAACCCACAAAAUAUACAAACAAUGGGGGUUACGCAUCUCCACGUGCGUUGGUUGUCUUGAACAUUUAUGGGGUCAAUUCCAUAGAUGUUUUGGAAAAAAUGGAAACGAAGGACGUGGAUAAAUUAUUCGCGAACAUUGAUAGCGCCGGCUUCUUCGGGGAACGGGUAAAAUUUAAGGCUGGAUUAAGAAAGUGGCAAAAAGAAAGGAAUUCAACCGAAGCGAAGGUAAAUCCAAGCCUCAAGUGGAAGGACUUCAUCUUAAUUAAAGACCAUUUGCCAAGGGAACAAAAGAAAUUCUGGUUGAAUGUGGAUGUCCGUACAUAUUAUAUAAAUAAAGUUCCUUGAACCUGCAACAUUUCGUAAGGACAUAUAAAAAACAUGUUACAUUUAUACAAUAGAAGAGUGAAAAAUCUAAAAAAGAAACUUUUUCCUCCCUCAAGUCCUAACCCAAAUCCGGCGAAGGUUGAAAUAGAACUAUUAAAGGGGAUUGGCAUACAAAUAUAAAGAUAUUUGUACAACAACAGUAAAAGAAGAUGGAUGCAAAGUUAACUAGGUGGGUUGGAUUGUCGUGUUGAAUACCGUUGUGUGCAAAAAUUCAAUAGAAUUUAUCGGAAGCAAAGCUACGAAGCAACUACGAGGACGACGCUCGGCGACAUCCUUGACAAAAGAGAUGAAGACAGGUUUUUCUAUAUAAAAUGGAUUUAUAUAUUUCAACUUGAUUCCUUGGCGUGAAUGUGAUUUUAUUCUUUGCUGUCAAUGCCACGAUAUCAAUGGAAAAGGAAUGAAAAGUGCAGACACAUCCGGAUGAAUUUGAUAUGAUCUUACUUAAGUAUCUUAAGUGAAAAUAUAUUAAAGCUGGAGAGAAGUAUAACUAAACUUAAUUAUAAAAUAACACGGAAUUUUUCAAUAACUUGACAUGAAACUAAAGCUUCAAGUGUACAGAGAAUUCAUUUGAAACUUUGAUUUUAAAAUACAAUACAGGUAAGCAAUAACUAAGUUUUGUUAAACGACCGGAAUUAA